AUUGGCACAAUGAGGAGUUAAUUUAGCUAAUGUAUCUCUGAGGUCUGAAGACCAAUGACUCUUCAUGUCCUUUUCAUUUUGAGGGCCCA
rfam:Brachypodium distachyon strain Bd21 chromosome 1, whole genome shotgun sequence.